rnacentral:lncRNA from 1 species
GUUACCGGAGUUGAUCCCACGCUUACCAUUCCGGAGUGGCAGGCUUUGUGCUUGCGAUUGCUAGGGUUUGAGCUCGACGCAUACUUUUUCGAUCAUUCACGACUCAGGAUUGAGUGUUUGGAUGAUCAUUAUCGAUAUUUUCAUAUUGCAGAUGAUGCACCAGACGAGAUGGUGCAGCAGUAUGUUAGGGGUCAGAUGCUGC